rnacentral:tmRNA from 1 species
GGGGCUGAUUCUGGAUUCGACGGGAUUUGCGAAACCCAAGGUGCAUGCCGAGGGGCGGUUGGCCUCGUAAAAAGCCGCAAAAAAUAGUCGCAAACGACGAAAACUACGCUUUAGCAGCUUAAUAACCUGCUUAGAGCCCUCUCUCCCUAGCCUCCGCUCUUAGGACGGGGAUCAAGAGAGGUCAAACCCAAAAGAGAUCGCGUGGAAGCCCUGCCUGGGGUUGAAGCGUUAAAACUUAAUCAGGCUAGUUUGUUAGUGGCGUGUCCGUCCGCAGCUGGCAAGCGAAUGUAAAGACUGACU